rnacentral:lncRNA from 1 species
AAAAUAAUGAACAUAAUACGACACCAAAGUUUACUAUAAAAGAUAAUAUGUUUGAUCUAUUUUCUAGGCUUGACAAAAUGGUAGGUAGUUCAAAACGUGAUUAGCCUAGUGAACCUGAUAGAUUUCUAGUAAGGAAGAUUCAAUGUGAAAACCAACGAUCCUACGGCAUUAUAUUUAUUAGUACUUUUCUUUAUUUUUCUUUUUUUUUUUAAGUCGACUUCUUCUGUUCAUGUAGGGAAUCAUUGAAAUUUAUGGAAUAAAUUUUAUUCCGGUGAAUUGUAAAAGUCUUUAAUUAGUGAGAUGACUAGUUGCGACUAUUCAAUAGUAAAGGACGUAUAUUAAAUAGUCUUGUUGUUUCAAAAUGGGUGUGAUUAUUCAGAAAGGUACAUGAUAAAAAGUCAUGACUUUUUAAUAGGGUGAAAUCUACUCCAUUACAUAUGAAAAGGUGUCAUCUAAUGAUUCACAUUUAUUGAUGCCAAAAGAUGUAAUCAUUGAAAGAGAGACAUGGAAAUCUAUAAAUAGGACAUUUUUAAUUUCAUUUAUCUACUUCAAAUCAAUCUCAUAUAAUUAAUUUAUAAUUCUUUCCUUCUCCGAAUUAUGUAAUAAUAAUUUUCAAAUUCUUUUCGAGUUUGUAUUCAAUAUGUAACAUUCGAUAUUUUUCAUUCUAGAAGAAGACAGUCAAGCAUUGGUUCGUCUGUCAAAAUCAAUGUUAUAAUAUUUUUAUUUUAGGAGUGUUAUAUCUUGGAAGACAUACAUCAAUUUAAUCAUGUUACCAUUAGGGGCUGAAAUUUCUCUCAAGGAGAUUUGUAUCCACACACCUCACAUUUUAUAUAGCUUCCUCCUAAUUUUUAUGUUUCAGUGAGUCAAAACUUGUAUGCAUAUCUUGGUAUUGAUAAGUCAAAAUUCUAUCUGAAAUUUUUCACACAUCACAAUUUUAUUCUCUUUUCAUGUAUGUACAUUUGUCUAAAAGGAAUAUAAUUUGUGCACCUGAUUUUUCAAUUGCAAAUGGUGCAUAUCAAAGAUUCAUGUUGUUUUAAUAUGAGUAUGACUAUUAGAAAAUGUAAAUAAUGAAAAGUUAUGGCUUUUUGAUA